rnacentral:rRNA from 1 species
AUUGAACGCUGGCGGCAGGCUUAACACAUGCAAGUCGAGCGGGGUGAUGGUGCUUGCACUAUCACUUAGCGGCGGACGGGUGAGUAAUGCUUAGGAAUCUGCCUAUUAGUGGGGGACAACAUCUCGAAAGGGAUGCUAAUACCGCAUACGUCCUACGGGAGAAAGCAGGGGAUCACUUGUGACCUUGCGCUAAUAGAUGAGCCUAAGUCGGAUUAGGUAGUUGGUGGGGUAAAGGCUCACCAAGCCGACGAUCUGUAGCUGGUGUGAGAGGACAGCCAGCCACACUGGGACGGAGACACGGCCCAGACUCCUACGGGAGGCAGCAGUGGGGAAUAUUGGACAAUGGGGGGAACCCUGAUCCAGCCAUGCCGCGUGUGUGAAGAAGGCCUUAUGGUUGUAAAGCACUUUAAGCGAGGAGGAGGCUCUUUUGGUUAAUACCCAAGAUGAGUGGACGUUACUCGCAGAAUAAGCACCGGCUAACUCUGUGCCAGCCGCCGCCGUAA